rnacentral:lncRNA from 1 species
CCAUGCAGCCAAAACACCAAAAAUCUUCAAAAUCUUGUGUAGAAAAUCAUCAAAUCAAGAACCGAUACUUCAAAAAUCAAUAGAUUUUCAAAGACCCGCUUUGAUGCCACUUGUUGGGAUUAAAACCCUAAUUGUGAUUUGAUGAACAACAUGCGGAAAAUAAGAACAAACACAAAUAAUGAAGAUUGUGUCGAAUGAUCACUCGAUUUAUUCAAUAUGAGGAAUAAAUUACACUUUCAGCAUAGACUAAAGAAUCUAACACUACAUAAGAAACCUCACGUGGCGGCUACAUUUUGCCUAACUGUUAACCCUAAUUAUGAAUAAUACAUGACUAUUUAUAGGGAAAAGACAAGUCUUGGGCUUUUAACCUACAACUCAUCAAAGGGGCCCAUUGCCAUCAUCCAUGGAGUGCUUUGAAACCCUACAACAUCUCUAAAUAAUACUUUAGUCACACUCAAAUACACCAAGGGCCGAUCUCUCUCCCUUCUUAACUCUUGAAGUGCGUAAAAGACCAUUUUACCCCUCCAUGACCUCCAUUACUCAUGUUGACCAAACCCUACAGUCAACAAAAGUUAAACUCAAUUCAACAGUCCCUAUUUGACCUGACUUGCCGAGUGCAUCCUUGUGACUCGUCGAGUCCACUCACUCUCUCAGAAGUCUCGCAAAGGUCCAACUCAACUCGUCGGGUUGACCCCCAACUCGCCGAGUUAACAUGCGAUUCAGCUCGAUCGGGAAAACCCUAAUCGACUCGUCGAGUCACCCCAUAGACUCGGCGAGUCGCCUCCAUGGCAUUACUCAUUUGGUCUCCUGAGGUCAGAUCUGAGACUCUAACUCAUAGAUCUAGCCUCCUAUCAUCCAAAAGUCACGAAACGGUCCGAUCUUCAUGUCCAUGCAUGGUAUAUUUUUUUAUAUACCAUUAUGACUCCAUUAAAGCAUCAUAGUUUCUAAGCUCCAUGGUUGCUCCUCUAUAACCUAAUACUUUUGGACUCUCUGGACCUUACAAGGUCUAGAUCUACAACUUAAGCUCAUAAAGGGGUUUGAUGCAUCCCAAAACCCCGUUCAUGAAGGUAAUACAAGCCCUAAUCCCCAAAAUAAUAGAUCUACACAAUUAGGGAAGGAAAGGGGCGAAUAUAAUACCUCUAGCUGAAGCCCUUUGAAUGAAAUCUUCAGAUCUAGCAAUCUCCUUUGGCCUUCUAGCUUGUAACCUCCUUCUCUCUUGCAUAUUUUAUAGUAAUAAGCUCAAGAUAGCCCUCCCUCUCACUCUACACAUUCAAAGACUCUUUAAGGUUGCUCUCAGGAAGAUAUGGUCGCAAAUGGAAGGUCAUAAGGUCCUUAUGUAGGGCACAGGUCCGAAACUUAGGGUUUUCUCUGCCGAGGAGUCAGUCCCCUGACUCGUUGAGUCCACUCAUUAAAUCCACGUGGCAACCCGAAACAACUCGGCGAGUUGGGCCUUCGACUCAUCGAAUCUCUCCUUAAACUUCAAGAUUGAAUCACAAAAUAAGGUACCUAAAAAUCCAGAUGUUACAAAAACCCUACUACUGGUGGCCGACGAUGAAGCUCAAUGUUGCGAAGUAUGUGGCCGACUGUGUGACAUGUGCGAGAGUUAAGGCACAACAUCAAAAACCAAAUGGGAGUUUAGAAGCUUUACCUGUACCCAUGGGUAAAUGGGAAAACAUCACCAUGGAUUUUGUGACUAAACUGCCCAGAAUGAAGAACGAUCAUGACAUGAUUUGGGUGGUCGUGGAUCAUUUCACCAAGAGUGCACACUUCAUAGAAGCCAACGAGAGGUGGUCUAUGGAUAAGCUUGCAAAUGCUUACGUAAAGGAGGUGGUAAGAGUUCACGGUGUUCCUCUGACGAUUGUAUUGGAUCGUGAUAGUCAUUUCACGUCAAGGUUUUAGAGAAGUUGACAAUAGGAAUUAGGUACGAAAUUGCGUUUAAGUACAGCUUACCAUCCACAGACUAAUGGUCAGAGCGAAAGAACGAUUCAAACACUGGAAGAUAUGCUGAGAGCAUGUACCCUAGAGUUCCAAGGGAACCGGGACAAGCACUUACCUCUGGUAGAGUUUUCCUACAACAAUAAUUUCCACUCGAGCAUCAAGAUGGCACCAUAUCAAUCUUUGUACGAAUAGAAGUUUCGUACGCCAUCUUGUUGGCUUGAGGCUGGAGAAAAGCAGUUUAUGGGCCUCGAGAUAGUCCAUGAGACUGAUGAGAGGCUGAAGGUGAUUAGGGAAAGAAUGUUAGCAGCUCAGGAUCGUCAGAAGAGCUAUGUUGACAAGAAUAGACGAUCGAUGACUUUUGAAGUUGGGGAUUCGGUUUUGCUUCAAGUCUCACCGUGGAAGGGACUUAUAAGAUACGGAAAACGAUGAAAGUUGAGUCCAAGGUUUAUUGGACCGUUCAAAGUUUUUAAAGGAUUGGGAACUAAGCUUACAAGCUUGGAUUACCCGAAGAACUAGCACUACAAGAAAAAGUCGAAAUAACUACGGAAAUUUGCUACGAAAGUAAAAUCCAUAGUGAUUCUGCUACGGAUUAUGCUACAGAAUGGCUUCUCGUAGCUAUUUUGCUAUGGAACUUGCUACAGAAUUACAUUCUGUAGGUAAUAUUUGAAUAACUACGGAAUGUUGCUACAGAAUUGAAAACCAUAGUUAUUCUACUAUGGAAUAUACUACGAACUAGUUAGACGUAGGUAUAUUUGCUACGGAAUUAGCUACAGAAUUGCAUUCUAUAGCUAAUAUUUUAAUAACUACAGAAUUUUGCUACGCAAUCGAAGUCCGUAGUUAUCAUGCUACAAAAUUUGUUACAGAAUUAAAAGGUGUAGGUAUUUUGCUACAACUGUUGCUACAGAUUAAAGUUUGUAUUUAUUUUGCUACAGAAAUUGUUACGAAAUCAAAAUAUGUAGCUAUUUUGCUAUAAAAUUUGCUACCAUAUCGAAGUUUGUAGCUAGCUUGCUACAACAUUUGUAACGAAGUCAAAAUCCGUAGCUAUGUCGCUACAGAAUUUGCUACAAGAUCAUAGGUCGUAGCUAUUAUACUAUAAUAUAAAAACCAAAAAUAGUAUACAAUAGAAGUUUCCAAUAUGCAAUUUCUAGUGUUUGGAGGUUUCUCAAGUAAAGUUUAAACCCUUAAAACCGAAACUCGAAUUACAAUUACGAAUUACUUAAUUAAAAAUUACAAUUUUAAGGUAGGGGCUGGUCACAUCCCAUUUGUUUUGUAACAUCCUGAUUUUCAUGGAGUAAUUAAAUAUAAAGAAGGAGUCUCGGGAAGUAAUCCUAGUAUUGUUGUAUAUUUUUAAGUCCAAAAUCAAUUAAUAAUUAUUGGAAUAUGAGUUUCGAAGGUUAAAGAAUAAUAUUGGACUUAUAUUGAAAGGAUUUUAUGGAGUAGGGGCUAAAGUGUAAGUUCGGGCCUGAUUUGAAAAGAAUUAUAGAGAGCAGGGUUAGAAAGGUAAAUUAUGAGUUAGUUUUGAAAGAAUUUGGGGAAUGAGGGGUUAAUAUUGUCAAUAUGGGAUAGAUGGUAUGGGACUCGGGAUAUAAAACCCAUNAAACCCAUCACUAUGAACCCUAAACCUAGCUAUGAACAGCCGCCAACCUUGCCUUCACCCUCCUACACUUUUAGCACCGCUACCCCCUCCCCUUCUCUGUCGAGUUACCUUCCACUGCUAUUGCUGGAGUCGUCAAGCAUCACCACCGCAACCCAUGUCGGUUCUGUUGUCGUGUUUGGUCGAAGGAUAUUCCCGAGAGAGAAGCUGUCGAUGCCGUGUUCUUCUUCUUCUCUGCUCCUUGCUGUCGUUGCUGUCAAUUCGAAGCUACCAUCGAUCCUACUGCCGCCAAUGAAGUCGUGAGCAGCGAGGGUUUCUCUUGGGUCGCCGGAAGCAGGGAGGCGAGACCGGUAACGUUGCUGCUGUCAACAGGGAAUCAACCCCAACUGUGUCAUUCCUCUCUAUCUCCGUUUUCGUUCCGGUGUAGCGUCUCUGUUACCGUUUCUUGAGCUGCUGCCGUCGCCACCCACCUGUGGUGGUGAUUAGUUAUUUUCCAAGCAAGAAUUCGAGGUCUCUGAGUAUUUUGUGUGUUGAUGCUUCAAGCUCGUGGGUAUAUGUGUGUGUAUGUUCAUCCGUGACUCACUAGUUGGUGGGAGUCUCGGAUUUACUGCUGCCGGAGAAAAGCCAAGGAAGAACCACCAUGGCCGUCAGCCAUGGUGGCUGGCGCCUCNCCUGCCGCCUCAAGGACCGCCAUGGAGGGUGUGUUUGAUGCUGUGUGUGUAUUAUUUUGUGUGUAUGUUAAUUUGAUAUUAUGGUAAAUUGUAACAAAAAUGUGAAUAAUGGAAGAAAAGCUCGAAACCACUACCAUGAAAUUUACUACCAACUAUCUGUUUCAUAAUUAGAUCGUAGUAGAUUCACUAUGGAAUAUUUGCUACGACAUUACCUGUAGUGGAUUUGCUAUGGAAAUUAGCUACGUGGAUGGUUUGUAGUUAAUUUGUGACAGAUUAACUAUGGAUCAGGUCAUAAAUAAUUUGUUACGGAUGUGCUACAGUAAACAAUUGUAGUUAGUUNGAUGUGCUACGUAAACAAUUGUAGUUAGUUUGUGACAGAUUAGCUACAGAUCAAGUUGUAGGUAAUUUGCUACGGACAACAAUUGUAGUUAAUUUGCUACGUUACUACUACGAAUAUAGUUUAUAGCUAUUUUGCUACGGAAUAAGUGUGUUGCAAAAUUCGUUGCGAAGGUCCUACGGAUUCUAUAACAAUCGUUUAGUAACGAAGAUUUUUGCAACAAAUGGGUUCCGUAGCAAAUUCCGUCUCUAAUCACACUUAACUACGGAAUAUCAUGUUUUAGCUACGGAAUUUUUCCGUAGUUAUUUCGGUUAUUUCUUGUAGUGUAGAUGGUAUUCAUAGCACCUUCCAUGUGUGUUAUUUUAGGAAUUUCACGGGAGAAGUUCCCGACAUAAUUCCAAUCUCAGAGUUAAGAAUGGAUGAGAAUAAGAGGCUGACUGAAGAGCGCGAGUCAAUUGUUGACCGUAAGAAUCAGAAUUUAUGACGCAAGAUGGUCGACUUAGUGCUAUUCCAUUGGAAACAUUCGAAUGGGCUGAAUCUCACUUGGGAAACAGAGAGUGACAUGAUGAGUCGCUACCCACAUAUGUUUGUUGAUGCAUGAUUCCGGGACGGAAUCAUCCUAAGGGGGAGAGAAUUGUAACGUCCAUAUUUCGGGGCUAAGCAUUAAUAGAUGAUGUGAUAGUCUAGGUCAACUAUUGUAACUCUUUUUGAAGUAAUAAAUAUGAAUUAUUUGAGUAUUAUGUGAAUUAUGUGAAUUUAUGUGUUUUAUACUUAAUUAUAAAGAUAUAAUUAAUAAAGAAUAAAAAUAAGCGUCAAAAUUAAAGUUUGAGAUAAGCCCUAUAUCUUCAAAUAAAUUUGUAGUGGUCGAAAAAAGGAUUCCGGAGAUAUAAAGAACGCUGAAAUCCGAGUUAUAACGAAGAAGUUAUGACCCGUCGAAGUUUCGCGACGAAACCGGCACGGCACCGGAAAGCGUAAAUAGUGAAUUUACAAUAGAUCGAAUUUUGGCCUUAGUGAUCUAAACAAAAGUUUAGUAUACGUUAAACCGAGAACACACAAAAAAGGAACGCCCAAAUCUGACUUUGUAUGGGAAGUUAUGAUUUUUCUAAGAUUUGGCUUAGUAGUGCACGACCCCAAACUCGAAUUUUAGUUCGAGCGGUUCUUGGCUUACGCGACCUAAAUGAGAGUUGAAGAUCAAAUUAGUAGGAACUCAAUGGUAAAAAGACAGAUGAAAACAGAGUACGUAUGAAGGAGUUACGAAUUUUUCGAGGUCAUUUAAUAGUCUAUUCUCCUCCUACUGUUAAAUUUAAUAUUGGUCGAGAAUUAGCCGACGGAGUCUAAAAGAAAGUUGUAGAUUAUGAUCGUUCCUACGCGUGGAUAUAAAGUAUGUCGAUAACAGAGCUCGUAUGCAAGAGUUAUGAUUUUUCUAAGUCGGGAGGGUGUUGUGCGAGUUUGGGUGACGUGGCGCGAUCACAGUCGUUGCUUCCUCCCCAAGGCUAGCCAUCAGAUGAUGACACGUGGCACAUUACGCCCAGCGUAAUUUUGAGUGCGCUCAGCGUAAGCCUUAAAAACACAUUACGCUCAGCGUAAUUUUUGAGUACGCUCAGUGUACUCGACGCUGGCAACCUAUAAAUAGAGCCGCAAAUCUCCCAUUUUCUUCACAACUCUCCACUUCUUUCCUCCCAAAUACCCCCAAACGUUCAAGGUUUUUCCCUAGCACCUCCAAGGUGUUUGUAACACCCGAUUCCUGGUAUGCCUUUAAUUCAGGUAUUUAUUUUGUUUUUCUCUGGGACUCGACGAGUUGCAGACCCAACUCAUCGAGUAGAGUCGUGAUCCGCGGGAAGUUUAAGUAGUCUACUCGACAAGUCGGGGGACUGAAUCGACGAGUAGACGCUGUUUGAGUGAAACCUUAAAUUGAGGGUUUAUACCCUAUUUAAACACAUUAUAAUCCCUCAACCCAGCCCCCAUCGUCCAGAGCAAACCCAAACUCAAAACCCUAGCCUUGUUUGAGUGUUCUAAGGUCAUUUUGUGCAUUUUGGAGAUUUAUGAAGCUUGAGAAAGAGUAAAGGAGCCUGGGAGUUCAAGUGGGAGCUUGGAGAUUCGGAGAUUGUGUUCCAUUUCCAGCUCAUUUAAGGUAAAAAAUCUCCUAUCUUGAUCUUCCAUGUAAAUAAUCACCUUUAGGGCUUGGAUCUUGGUAUAUUUAGGGCUUUCUAAGCCAUUUUCAGGUUGUAAAGUGUAAUAUGAAGUUAUUACUUCUGAUCUGGGGCCAUUUGGGGUUUUUAUGUCAUAAAGAUGCCAACUUUGUUGCCAUAAACACCCCAUGCAUCUUGUAGACCAUCUUUUAUGGCUUUUUGAGCCAAAGAUCCCAUGCAUGUGCACCAAGCUUGAGACUUUACGUGUAAAAUGGACAUUAGGAGGCCAGAUCUAUAGUUUUGAGGAGUUAAAACCCAUUUAAAUCGACUGUAUAGUAAUGGUCAAGGAUGGGCUCGGCGAGUCAUUCUUUGGACUCGGCGAAUCGGGGUAUAAUGACCACCAAAUCCUUUCUGUCAAAGGACCAGAUGAUAGUGUGGAAGGUUCCCCAGUUGUUUAGGCUCUUAAGGGACCUGAGAAUCAUGGGACUCAUGAGUACUAGAACACACACGGCAAGUCCAAGGCAAUCUCCCAGUCUUUGAAGAUGGACUCGACGAGUCGUUCUUACAACUUGGCGAGUCAUAGACUGGAUGCAUUCAUAUGCUGAAGAUGAACUCGACGAGUUCAAGGAAGAACUCACCGAGUCGGUUGAAGAUUGACUGAAGUGUUGUUGAAGGUGAACUCGUCGAGCUCUUGCUAGACUCGACGAGUGGGGACAGGUUUGUAGUAUUGUGUGGGCGAGGGGACUCGGCGAGUUGGCGGACCAACUCAGCGAGUCUGAUCAACACAAGAUUUGACUUGACUAGGGUUUGACUUUGACUUUGACUUUGAUUUGGAUUCAAGUUGACCCUUGAAGGGGGUUGUGGGUACAACUUGAUAACUUAGAAGGGUUGUCAUGUAGGGAUUGAGGAGUCGAGGAGAGCCAACUUUCACACCGAGGACAGUGCAGACGCUACACGACAUCGAGGUGAGUUACCUUCCAGGAGGGGUGGGUCUAAGGCCACAAUGCCGGCCCACCAACAAGAGCAAUUAGUAGAUAAUUGUGUUUGUGAUAAUUAUCUUGGUAUACCUAUGUGAUAUGUUUAUGAGAUAUGCUUAUGAGAUAUGCUUAUGUGAUAUGCUAUGUGAGUUAGUGGUAGUAGCAGGGAAUAGCUUUUCCCUAACUUGGUCGUUAGGACCGAAGGGUAGGUCAGUACCCCAGAUAUGCCUGACCGUAUAAUACUAUUUUGUUAUUGUAUGAUAUAGGUAAGGGUGAAAUAGUCCCUGAUGUCGGUUGAGAUAGACCGGAGGGUAGUCGGCACCCCAGAACGGCCUGAUAUGGGUAGGUCAGCACCCCAGAAUGGCUUAACAUGGGUACGUCAGCACCCCAUAAUGGCUUGACAUGGGUAGGUCGGGCACCCAAGAAUUGUCCGGCAGUAUGUAUGCUAUGUGAUUGUAUGGUAUGUGGUAUGAUGGGGGAACUCACUAAGCUUUGUGCGUGCAGUUUCAGUUUUGGUUUCAGGUACCUCUUCAUCCAAGGGGAAGGAGUCGGCGGCGUAGCAGCGCAUCACACACACACACAUUUGAUUUCCGCAUUUAGUUUUCUAGGAUUGUACUCUAAUUUAUACUAUUGUUCGAUGUUGUGAUUUUAGAAUUAUUCAUGAUGGUUUAUGGGUUGAUAUGGUAUUGACAAUGUUUUUAGUAAACGAAUAUAUAAUUUACUUAAUUACAAACAAAAAUUUUGGACUCGGAAAUUGGGAUGUUAUAGUGUUAUAAGCAAGUCUUGGAGCACCGGGAAGCUCCAAGAAGAAGAGCUUUCGGCUCAGAACCGAUGCUCCAAGCGAAGCCCAGUUUUCUAUAAAACCCGUUGUAAGUGAGCUACACCUACGCUAUUUUUAGUAUAGCUUUUAUAUAAUUAUAUUAACGUUAUUAGGAACUUAUAAUAAGUACUUGGGCUAUUAUUAUGAGUUAUAUAAGUUUCGUUAUAAUAUCUUUUUAACCACUCGCGGUACGGGGAAUCUAGUUUAAAGGGCCGCAUAGGGUUGUUGGAUUUCAGAAGUGCUAUAUGCCAAAAUGGUCCUACCCUCCAGUGUUUUAUGUCUGGCCCUUGUUUGUACAUAGUGGGUGAAGAGUAUUGUCUAACGCUUAUAUAAUAGUAAUAAUAGCUAGACUAUUAAUUAGUCUCGGUGAAUAUUAGACUAAACCCUAGUGGUAAUGAUACAAUUUUUUGUCGAACGAAAUUGUUUUAAGAGUAACGAAGCGUUGUCCAACUUCGGAAUCACCACCUUAACAGGUGAGUGCAUAGUUACUUUCAUCUUACACAUAGAUAUGAAGUAUUUAAUAUAAACUACAUGUUAUGUGUGCAUAUUGUUUGAGUACUUGUUGUCUAUAUAGAUGAAAGAUUUUCAUACAUGUUUUAAAUGAUUUAAACUGUAUAUGUAAUUUUAUAUCAGCAAAAAUGUUGGGGUAAACCAUGGGUAGAUGUAAUAGACAAUGUGUGAUAAAAUGAUGAGAGGCCUCGAUGUUGUUGUUGUUGAUUAUGUCAUCUAGCGGAGUAUGGAUGAUGACCACAGACUCUUCUAGACAGUCUAGUGGAACGCUAGCAAGCUCGCAACCUGUAGGUGUUUGUGAACAAUGUGCUCACCAGUGUACUCCAUCCCCCUCAUGGUUGCCUUAGGAACAUUUUUUGCUGAGGAAUCCCCUUAGAAGUAGUGUCCAUCCCGAUGAUGAUCCUUAGCCUAGGUCCCUUAUGAUAGGUGUUUUAGGGACGUAAAGUGAGGAUAACGUGAACGGGUAAUCAGGUUAUUCUGGGUUGACGAAAUUAAUAAACUUAUUUAUUGUGGGUUGAAAACCCUAUGUUCUCACUAGGAUCCCAAGCCUGACCCACUCAGUUUCUUGUAUUACAGGUAGUGGCACUCGAGCAUAGAUGUGAUGUUUUGGAUAAGGGAUUACGGAUUAUAGGCCUAUAGAUAUGAAUAAAUGUUGUAAGGCUUAUAUUGUAUUGGUUAUGCUUUUGAUCUGUAACAAACAUGACAUCCCGAGGUUUUUAAUGAAAUACAUUUCUUCGGAAAUGUUUUGAUAAAUAUUUAUCAUAUUUUAUUUUGGGAACAAAUUCUGCAGCACUUUUAUUUAAAAUGUUACUCUGACUUUCAAAUAAAGCAUAAACAAAAUUGGUCUUUUCUGGCCGUGAAAAUAAGGAUGUCACACAGCGAGACCAGAGAACUAUAAGAGAGAGCGGUUGAUCGGGUAGAUUUCCAAGUUUGGGACGAACAUUCGGGGGUUAUGACUUUCCAUGGGCAGAUUUGGGUAUCGUAUACAGGUGUAGCUCGACGUAUUUUGAUGGAGGAGGCCCAUCGGUCGAGAUUCUCGAUCCAUCCAGGGGCCAUCAAGAUGUAUUUGGAUUUAAAUAGGGAUUACGGGUGGCCGUGCAUGAAGAGAGAUGUGGCAUGGGUAGUUGAGAGAUGCUUGACCUGUCACUAGGUCAAGGGGGAGCACCAGCGACCACAUGCCCCAUUUCAUCCCCUAGAGAUUCCCCAGUGGAACUGGGAACAAAUUUCCAUAGAUUUUAUCACCAAAUUACCGAGGACUGCGCGGGGAUUCAAUGCGAUAUGGGUGAUUGUAGACCAGUUGACAAAGAGUGCUCACUUCCUGGCUAUCAGUAAGAGCUCUUCUGUGGAGAAAUUGGCGAGAUCUACGUUCGAGAGGUGGUAGGGCGGCAUGGGGUGCCGACAUCGAUAGUGUCGGAUCAAGACGUGCAUUUUACUUCCAAGUUCUGGAAGAAAUUUAAUGAGGAGUUGGGUACCCGGUUGCACUUCAGUAUCGCAUAUCACCAACAGACAGACGGGCAGAGCGAGCGGAUGAUUCAGAUGCUUGAGGACAUGUUGCGUGCAUGUGUUAUGGACUUCGCUGGGAGUUGGGCACUUAUUUUCCCUUAUCUGAGUUUUCAUACAACAACAGCCAUCAUUCCAGUAUUGGUAUGCCUCCCUUUGAGCUCUUAUAUGGGAAGAGGUGUCGUACUCCCAUCUAUUGGGGAGAGGUAGGGCAGAGAGUGAUGAGGGGCACCGACAUAGUGCUCAAGACAACAAAACAAAUCCAGCAGGUCAGACAGAGGUUACUGACGGCCCAGAGUCGUCAAAAGAGUUACACCAACCGGCGUCGUUCAGAGUUAGAGUUUCAGGUCAGAGAUUUUAUCCUCCUGAAGGUAUCCCCAUGGAAUGGGGUGAUCCAAUUCAGGAAACGGGGCAAGAUGGGCCCUAGAUACAUUGGCCCUUUCGGGGUGAUAACAUGAGUGGGUAAGGUAGCUUAUAGAUUGGAGAUGCCUGCAGAGUUGAGCCAAAUUCAUAAUACCUUCCAUGUGUCCCAAUUGAGGAAGUGUGUAGCCAAUGAGACGGAAGUGGUUCCUUUCGAGGACAUUCAGGUCGACGAAAUCCUGAACUAUAUAGAGAGGUCGAUAGCAAUCUUGGAUAGGGAGGUGAAGGUCUUAAGGAAUAAAUAGGUGCCUCUAGUUCAGGUUCAGUGGCAACAUCGGAAGGGAUCCGAGUGGACUUGGGAGUCAGAGUCCAAGAUGCGCGAGCAGUACCCAGAGUUAUUUCCAGAAGAUGACUUCGAGGGCGAAUUCUGAUUCUAGUGGGGGAGAAUUAUAACAUACCGAGACCAGGUAUAUCUCAUUAACCCUUGUAUUAUUGUAGUUGUCAAAUUUGACCCUUUAUUUGAGAACAGGUGGUAGCUGAGUGCGCAGGGCGUACGAAUGUGUACGCUUAGCGUACUCAUGUGCAUGAUUUGGAUGAGGAAGCCACCUAGUACGCUGGGCAUACUAGGCUCAGAAUGAAAACCCUAAUUGUGGGGUGAGUCCCUAUUUAAGGAACAUGAUGGCCUCAUUUCUGGCCACCAUUUCCAGUCUUCAACCCCCCCUCAAAACCCUAAUUUCCGUUCUCUUAGCUUAAGUGGCCAUUUGUAAGCUUCUAAGUGUUCUUGUGGGAUUCUUUGAGUGAUGAAGGAGCCUUCAAGAGAAUAGAGUUAGAGUCCAAGCAUUGGAUCUGAGCUUCCCUGUGAUUGGUGCAUCAUUUGAAGGUAUCAAGCUCAAAGCUUUCUCAUUCUUUUGAUUUGUGCAUAUUAUGGUUCAUUUUAGGGCUUUUUUCCCAAAGCUUGAAGCUUUAUGAGUUUCUUGAACCCCAGAGCCUAAUAUAUGUCCCUUUAAGUGUCUCUAGUGGAGUGGACUCAUAAAAAUGGGAUCUUAGACGUCAAAAUCACCCCACGCAUGAGAUAUGAGCACUUUUGUGAGUAAAGAGUGAGAGUGUUUCAGUUUUAUACUGUCUCAGCCAUGCAAAGGCUUAAAGUCACGAAAUUUAUGGAGUAUGAGCCUUUAGUGAGUCCAGAUCUGAGAGUAUAGCUAUGGUCUUAACGGAUUAAGACCAAGAGAGUGGGGAAAACAAGUCUGGGACGUAUACCAAGCGUACUCCCAGGUCCAUGCAGUGUAGCGUCGAAGAUCCCUGAUGCAUGCAUGGCGAAGUAGUAUGCCCAACGUAAAGGGGUUGUACGCGCAGCGUACGCACUGCUGUUGACUUUUGUUGACUUCUAGGGUUUGGUCAAACUAUGGACUAUAGAGGCCAUGGAAGGGUAAAAUGGUCUUUUAUCCUUUUGAGAAUUAGUAUUGGGUUUAGCCUAGCAUCUUUAAGGGUCAUUUAUUAGUUAGAGAUAAUUAUGGUAUAUGUUAGGUGGAGGCUAGAGUGGUGAUUCCAGUAUGAGACGUAUUUGCUUUACUUAUGAGGUGAGUUUUCUCACUAUACAUACCUGAGUGGUAAUACUAAGUGACCAGAGGGUCUUAUUUGAGUUAUCUGAUAUUAUGCAUUUUGUAUUUGUGAUAUAUGCUAUAUUAUUUUGUGCAUUACCGAGAUCGGAUGGGAGGGUCCAACCCAAGCUGUGAGACCGAAGGGUUCUCACUGAGAUACAAGACUAGAGGGUCUAACCCGAGUUGUGAGACCGGAGGGUCCUCACUGAGACACAUGAUCGGAGGGUCCAAACUGAGUCAUAAUACCGUAGGAUCCUCACCGAGACGCAUGACCGGAGGGUCCAUGCCAAGCCAUAGCCAUGAGAGGCUUAUUAUUUGUGUAUGUGGGAUUUUGGGGAGCUCACUAAGCUUCGUUCUUACCAUGAUGUGUGUUAUGUGUUUCAGGUAUUUCUCAGGAUCGCAGGAAGGCACCGGCUUGAUUGUACACAUCUGUUUGAGACGAUGUUUGAGGAUUCUGGGAUACUAUUAUUUAUUUUGUGGAUUUGUGUUUGACAUUUGAGACAAUUGUGGUUUUUGAGAAAUAUGGCAUGAGUUUUUAUGUGUUUUGAAAAUGAAAUAUUUGUUUGAAAAUUCGUGGUGUUACAGUUUCCCCUUUCACCAGUCGUAUCAUCUCAAACCCGACUAUCCUGCAUGGGUAGUGGAGGGGGUGCAAGCCCAAACAACCAUCGUCCCACGGGAGGUCAAUGUUGAAUCGCAAGAAAUAACAAGUAUGAAUUUUUACCCUCGUAUUUAUCUUGAAUAGAUGUGCAUGUUUAGUGUAAUGCCAAUUAGAUAGCCAUUCAUAUAGUUGUCUUGCUAGCAUUAUUAUGUUAGCAUUGGUCAGUUUUAAAGGAUCAGGGAUGCGGUUUCCAGAGUCUUCAUAAAUCAUAAAGUAGCAGGUUCGUUCGCGAACGGUUUGGAGUUGUGUUGUUUGGAAAGCUUCUGGUUUCUCAAUCUAGACUGCAUGAUUCCUUGAGAUUGUUGGUUAUUAUUCAAAUUGACAUAUGCCAUUUUGCAUACCGAGAGCUAUGUUUAAAGAGUAUCUAGAUGAACCAGUUUUAGGCUUCGGCAUGGAAGACGUAAGCCACUGAGGGAGCAAACCUUGAGCGGCGGAGGACUUAGUAUCUACUUAAAGGAUCAGCAACUAGAUUGAUUUUGAUGAUUUCCAUGAGACGAGCCGAGGGAAGUUAUAGUGUAAGUUCAUUGGAUUACUAGUGUUCGAGACCGUUGAGAUCUUUUAUGAUGUGGAGAACUGAGAGAUUGAUCUGAAGCAGGUGUAGGGUGAGAUGUUGUUAGUUUUAUGUGCAUGUUUGUGCACGCAAUCCUUGCAUCAGGAACUUCUAGACAAGAUCUUGUUGUAGCCGACUGUUCCUCUUGGGAUAAUGAAAUAGAUUUAAGAGGAGUAUGUAUUGGUCGGAUUGAAUAUCAAUUUAAGGUGAGGUUGGAUCGUUGAAUCAAUCACUAUCAUUAAUACGGGUAGAGCUAUUGUUGAGUUAUUAAUCUACUUCAGGGAUAAUGGAUGCACUUUUGCGCGAGUGUGGGUUCAGUGGAUGAGAUUGUUUGAGAAAUUAUAAAGUAGUAUUAGUUGACGGUGCUAUGUACGGAUCAAUCUUUCUUUAUGUGUAGAGUAACGGGUAUUUUUGGACCCAAGAAUAAGGUGUCAGAGUGACAUUGAUCAGUUUUCUGGAAGGACUUCGGAUUUUCACGGAAUCCCUUUCCGGCGGAGUCACGUCGGCAGGAUUGGAAAGGAGUCAGUAUGACCUCGGUUCUGAUGGCAUUCAAAGGUUUGAUCCAACCAUGUUGAGCAAUUGUAGGAUCGGUUCGAUUAUUUAAACUGGAAAUUUUCUAUGAGAAGGUUUUAUGGUUGGGGUGUUCAAUGAUAUGCAUCGUGAUCAAGUUGGAAAGCUUAGGGUCCAGACACUAUGGAUUGUGAAUCUAUAGUAAAAGUCUUGAUGUCGUUAGGGAGGAGUUAAUUCCAAGUGGGGUAGAGCCUCUUGGAAUUCAUAUCUGAGGGUCGGAGAAUAGUUGGUUUUGAUCAUAAGCAUGGAAUCAAAGACCAAGGAUUUGGGUUAUCUCGGUUGGGGAUCUGACUCAUAUUGAUCUUCGAUUAGGAUGGUUGGAAAAAUCAUGGGUAGAGCCAAUGGUAGUUAUGGAAAUGUAGUGAGGAACCGUGAACCGGUGGCAGAAUGACUCAUAUGGGAGAGAUCCGGUAGUCAAUUUUUUAAGGUUGUUAGGUCUCGGAUCAUUAGUUUUCUUGGCAUGUUUGGGUGUUGGUACAUUCUAGGAGUCGGGAGACUCAGUGAUUAGCUGGGUUGGAUCAUGUAGGUAGUAAAAGGUUGUUGAGAGUAACAGUUAUACAUCAGAAUUCUCUUGUGGAUUGUUUGCAUUAUAAAUCCCGUUUUCUUGCGGGCUAUUUAUUAGGAAUGUGUUUACCAAUGAUGGGUAUCGGUUUUGGAAUCUCAACUCAUGAAGUUCAUCGUGAAUGUCCCGAGUGAUUUUUUGUUAGGUGGAGGUACACCUUAGCUGUUAUGUGAUUUGGAUGCAACAUGAAAUUAUUAGGGUGGACCAUCAUUAUGCUCGUGAGAGUAGUUGGUUGCUGAUGACUUGUCAGGAAGACAAGUGUAUAUUUAAGGUUUUUAGUCACAAUUUCUGGAUUUGGGUUUAGGUGAAAAUCGUAAUCAGUAUCUUUUUAGUUUUCUUUUUUCAUGUCUUGGUAGUGUUCCUAGUCAAGGAAUAGGGGUAGGUACGACGAAUGGAUGAUCAUCAGUCUUAAAGCAUGUUUCUGAAGAAUAGAACUAAUGGGUUCUCGAUUCUGGGAAGUAUGUUGAUGAAGUUGGUUUGAAGAUGCCUAGAUUUCGAAGUGGUUAAGGGAGUUGUGGAAUAUGUUGACGUUGUUCAUGCUACACUAUAACGGUUAUUUAGUUAGGACACAUGUUGGGAUAUGCUCUUGUUUUCAAGUGGAGGGUACAACAAUAGUGAAUGGUUGCAGAUAACCCAGAUUCAGCAGAAAAGUUAUAUCGGCAGGCGCCGAUCGGAGUUGGAGUUCGAGGUUGGCGAUAUGGUUCUACUUAAGGUAUCACCCUGGAAAGGUGUAAUAAGCUUUACGAAGAGGGAAAAGUACGGGCCCUGGUAUAGUGGGUUGCUUCGAGUGAUAACCAGGGUUGGUUAGGUGGCCUAUCGAUUGGAUUGCUUGAGGAGCUCAAUCAGAUUCACAACACAUUUCACGUAUCUCUGCUAUGGAAGUAUGUAGUUGAUGAUUUAGCAGUGGACACUUUAGAUGAUAUUCAGGUUGAUGAUCGCUUGAAUUAUGUUUAGAGACCAGUGGUUACUCUGAAUAGGAAGACAAAGGCCUUGCGCAACAAGGAGGUAUCAUUGGUCAAGGUCCAUUGGCAACAAUGGAAGGGUUUCGAAUGGACUUGGGAACCCGAGGCGGAGAUGCGAGAACACAACCCUGAGUUAUUUGAGGAAGCGAAAUUCGAGAACGAAAUCUAGUUCAAGUGCGGGAGAAUUGUAACAUCUUGAUAUUUAGGUAAUUCCAUUUAUGUAACGACCCGUCUCCGGUAUGAUGAUUCCUUUGUAUUUAUUUUGANGGAAUGGACGUGGGAGGUUGAGGAGGAGAUAAGAGAGCACUACCCAGAGAUAUUUGCAGAUUCAGUCGUAGCAGACUUCGAGGACGAAGUCUGAGAUAAGUGGGGGAGAAUUGUAACGACCCGUCUCCGGUAUGAUGAUUCCUUGGUAUUUAUUUUGAAGUUUUGCAAGAGGGACUCGGCGAGUUCAUAGCCUGACUCGCCGAGUAGGGACGGGAUUUCGAGCACGUGUUAGCUGGCGACUCGGCGAGUCCAUAUUCUGGACUCGGCGAGUCUGUCCGUCUGGGAGAAACCCUAAAUCCCCGGGUUGCCCACUAUUUAAGCCACCUUAUGGCCUCCAUUCUCGCCUCCUUCACCCUCAGUAAGCUGUGAGAAAACCCUAAUUCGACCUUGAGUGUUUUAAGUGAUCUUGUGUGCAUUUGUGAAGGCUUGAAGAAGGAGAAGAAGAAAGGAACAAGGAGAAGGAUUUUAGAGCAGAGAUUCAAGGGAAAGCAAGAGCUCUUUGAGGUAUUCUUCAGAUUUCCUUCACUUUCAUGCUUUAAAACCCUUUCUAGAUCUAGUUAAUGCUUUUCUCAAGCCUUAUGUUGAUAUGGAAGCUCUAUUAUGCCGAGAUAUCCUUAGAUCUGUUCAAUUAGGAGUUGUAGAGCCCAGAUCUAUUGCCUUUAUGGAGCCAUUUUGCAUAUUAACCCUAGAUCUACCCCUUUUAAGUGUCUUUUAGCCUUUAUUCCCUUUUUCAUGUGUUUGUACACGUAAAGUUGGAAACUUUACGUGGUAAAUCAGCUUAUUGGACUCAGAUCUAUCAUUUGUAUGUAUUGGAUUCGAGCAGAAUCGAGUGUAGAAUAGUUGCAUGGCGGUGACUCGGCGAGUCGGAAGAACGACUCGGCGAGUCGAGUCGCGAGUCCCCGAUUUCUUCCUUUUGAGCGGUGUCGAGUGGGACCAGUGAGUAGUGGAGUGGACUCAGCGAGUUUGAGGGUAGACUCAGUAAUGGAGGGACUCGGCGAGUUGUUCAUACAACUCGGCGAGUCCAAGGCAAUCUUCUUAAGCUCAAGAACAACUCGUCGAGUUGUUCAUAUGACUCGGCGAGUCGGAUGAAGAUUGUCUGAGUUCUUGGAUCGAGAGGGUACUCGUCGAGUCGAUGCCAUACUCGACGAGUAGCAGCGAGUAGGGUCGAGGAGUGAGAAUAGGGACUCGGCGAGUUGGCGGCCCAACUCGGCGAGUCAGGUCAACUGUGGGUUGACUUUGACCGAGAGUUGACUUUGACCAAGGGUAAAAGAGUCAUUUUACCCAGUGCAGUGUUUAGUAUUUGAUUGAGUGUGUUUAUGGACUUGUAGCCGGGGAGUUACCGGAGCAGCAGCAGUUAGCCCUCAGAGCCAUUCACUCAGCAGCCAGUUCACGAGGUGAGUUUCCUUCCAGUAGGAACGGGUCUAAGGCCACAAUGCCGGCCCGUUUAGCUAGCAGUAGUAUCCGGAUUUUGAUCCGAUGCAGUAGUUAGCAUGUUUGAUGCCUUCGUGGCUCAGAUAGGAUUUAUGUGUGUUCAUGCUAGUGAUAUGUUUAUGCUAUGUUCAGUCAGCUUCGGACUUUGGUCUGAUGUCAGCUUCGGACUUCGGUUCGAUGUAGGGGACAAGGUCCCAGUCAGCUUCGGACUUCGGUCCGAUGUCAGCUUUGGACUUUGGUUCGAUGUAGGGGACAAGGUCCCAGUCAGCUUCGGACUUCGGUCCGAUGUUAGCUUCGGACUUCGGUCCGAUGUUAGCUUCGGACUUCGGUCCGAUGUAGGGGACAAGGUCCCAGUCAGUCGGCUUCGGACUUCGGUUCGAUGGAGGGGGCAAGGCCCCAGUAUGUGCUUGAUAUGUUAUUGUAUGGUAUGUGGUAGUUUGGGGGAGCUCACUAAGCUUCGUGCUUACAGUUUCAGUUUUGGUUUCAGGUACUUCCGCAAGCAGAGGGAAGAGCUCGGGAUGAUGGCAUCGCACACACCACAGCUUCAGCUUUUAUCUUGGGAGUUGAUUUAGUUUUUGAUUUGAUAUGACAUAGAUAUGAUACAGUUUUCCGCACAGUGUUUUGUUAUGUUGAGAUAUAUCACGUAUGGUUUUAUGAUAUGACACUCAGAUUAUGGUUUUUAAAUAUAUCGAAAACGAAAUUUUUGGGUCGUUUCAAUUUAUGUCCUAGAUAUGUAAAUUGUUUGCAAAUUGGUCCCUUAUAGCGUUUUGGAGAAACACAUGUUUCACUAGGUACAAUGGGCGUACUCCUUGAACGUUGGGCGUACGAGGCCUGGACGAAAACCCUAAUAUUUAGGAUAUGUGCACUAUUUAAGCACCUUUAUUUCAUCAAAAGUCUUUCUUUUAUCUGCCUCCAUCUCCCAACUCGACCCUAGCUAACCCUAAUCUUUUGUGUGGGCAUUUUUGAGCUUGAGUGUGUAAUUUGGUGAUCUUAAAGGAGGAAGAAGGAAGAGGAAUCACCUUAGGAGCUCAAAGACAACCUAGAUUAAGAAUCACAUCAUCAUUUUGCAUCACUUUAGGUAAAAAAAAACUUUGAUCUUGAUGAAGCUUUUGCUUAGAGCUUGUUGGCUAUUGAUUUGUGUUCAUUUUGGUCCCAUAACCCUGGUGUUUAUGAGUAUGGUUUACUCUAAAUCAUAUGAGUUGUCCUUUCAGAUGUUCUGGAGGGUGUAGAGUCAUAAAAAUAUAAUAUUGGUCCAUAGUUUCCUUCCAUGCAUGGACUAUGAUGUCUUAAUGAUUUAAGAAGUUAGGGUUUUGGUAUUGGGCACUUUCUAGCCAUGCAAAUUCAUAAAGUUGGAAAGUUUAUGACUUAGAAUGUUAUUUUGGGAAUAGAUCUGCAUUUGGACAAAAGGACUUAAUGGCAUUUUGGUAAUUUUGGCCAAGAUAUUAGUGUGUCGAGCGUACGUUGUGUAUGUUAGGCGUACUGGGGCGGACCCUAGUACGUUGUGCAUACACCACGUACGCAUGACGUACAUGGUAAAUCCUUAAAUCCUAAUUUUUAGGGUUUGUUCCAUAUAUAAGCAUCAUUAUCCUCUCAUUUCUCAUUCCCUCAUCAGCCUCCAUUUGAGAAACGGCCCUCUAGCUAACCCUAAGUGAGAAGAGUGCAUAUUGAGCUUAUCUUUGUGUUUUGGGGUAUUCUUAAAGAAGAACGUGGUGAGAAGAACAUGGAUCUUGGAAGCAACUUGGAUAUGAGAUUAUCUCCUUUCUAGCAACCUCCAGGAGGUAAAAAGGCAUUUUGGGUCCCAAAUAGGAUUGUUCUUAAGUAUGGCAUGCCCUUAGUCUAAUAAGUCAUCCUUUCAGACCUAAUGAGGGGUCUUGAUUCAUAAAAAUGUGGUCUUGAUACAUAGUUUUUCUCCAUGCAUGAUCUAGAAGGUCUUAUGAUGUUAAGAAGUUGGGAUUUUGUGUAUUAAGCACUUAAUAGACAUGCAAAGUCAUAAAGUUGGAAACUUUAUGACUCUUAGUAGUAUUUUGGCCUUGGAUCUAAAAUUUGGACGUGAGAGAUUAAUGCAUUAAACCUCUCUAAGCGUACAUCGUGUGUACCCCAGUGUACAUUGCACGUAUGUGAUCAAACUCUUGACUCCGGUCAAGGAAGGAUUAUGCCCAGCGUAGGAGCUGAGUACGCCUUGCAUACUCAGUUGAGUAGACCAAGUUGACUCCUUGACCUAUUGACUUUGACUUUGACUAGGUUUGAUCAAGUUUUCCUUAAGGGUAUUUUGGGUAUUUUAAGCUAUAAUUAAGCCUUGGUCUCUAUCUGUUGAAUAGGUGACAUGUAGAGCUGGUAUUUGGAGCAAUGUACUGUUCAACUAUUCAUCAGAAUAUGAGGUGAGUCUUCCUCACUAUAACCAUGGGUCGAAGGCACCAAGGCCAUCCCACUAGAUUAUUUAUCCUGGUCAAGAUAGUGAUAUGAUAGUUGUAGUUGUUCGGUAGAUCUGUAUGAUUAUCCGUGUUGUUGGCUCUGUGUUUAUGUUUUGUUUGUUGCAUAUGUCGACAUGUUGUGUUAGGUUGAGGCGUUCCUGCUUUGUGUUGUAGGCUAAGACACCUGGGGACAAACAGAUAGGUUGUAGGCCCUACGAAACGCUCCAGUCAAGCCGGCGGUCCGUGGAGUGGUCCGGAUAAGCUGUAAGUCCUAAGAGCCGGUCCAUUCAUGACAAAGGCUCAUAGAGCAGUCCACAUAGGUUGUAGGCCUUUCAAGGCGGUCCAGUCAGGCUAGCUGUUCAUAUUGUAUGCUUGAUUGUUGUGGUAUGCUAGUACUUUAGGGGAACUCACUAAGCUUUGGAUUACAGUUUUAAUUUGUGGUUUUAGGUAAUCCCAAGGACCAGGGGAAGGCGAAGGCUUGAUCGUACACAACAUAUAGUUUUUAUGUUUUUGGGACUUGGGAAAACUCUGAUUUGAAAUAAUUCUUUUGAAAUAAUGAAUCAUUUUGUAAACAAUAAUGAUUCGGUGUUUGUUUUAAAAUUUUAAAAUUUAUUUUGAUUUUUGGAGUGCUACAACUCCCUUUAGCACCCGAUCUGGAUGACGAGUACGUUGCGUGUACAUGCUGAGUACAUUGGGCAUACUCAGCUGAGUUGACUCUGUUGACUUUUAAUCUUUGACCAAGAUUUGACCAAGUUUGAACUAUGGGUAUUUUGGGUAUUUUGAGCAAUGGCUUGAGCUAGGGUCACUAUUUGUUGUACAUGUGACUUGUAGAGUUGGUAUACUGAGUGGUGUUGUAUCCAUAUAUCUUUUCAGACUGAGAGGUGAGUUUUCCUCACAGUACUUGUGGGUUAAAGGCACCAUUGCCGACCCACCUAGAUAAUGUAUCCUGGUAUAUAAGAUAUUGUUAUGUGGAAGUGAUUUAUUAGACAUGUAUCCUAGUAUAUAGGAUGUUGUUAUGCGAUAGUGAUCUAUAUAUUUUCCUAUUAGUCUGUAGACUAGUUGUAUGACUAUUUGUUUUCUGAAUAAAUGUUAUUUGUUAUAUGUCGACAUAGUGUGGUUAGGUUGAGACUGUAUUGCUUUGUGCAAUCAAUCAACAAACCUGGGGCAACCCAACCGGAGGCUGUGGGCCAAGGAAAUUCAACAGGGAGGUUAUAUGACAGGGUAGUCCAAUCGGGAGGUUGUGGACCCAAUAUGCAUUGUGUAUGGAAAUCCAACCAGGAGGUUGUUGGUCAAGGUAAUUCAACCGGGAGGUUGUGGAGCCAACAAGCAAUAUGAUUAUCUUUUUGGUUGUAUGUGGUAUUUUGGGGGGAACUCACUAAGCUUUGGCUUACAGUUUCAUUUUAUUGUUUCAGGUAUUUCAGAUGAGCGAGGAAAGCAAAGGCAUGAUCGUGCACAUCCUUUUAUUUUUUAUGAUUUUGGAUUUCUGGGAUACUUUGAUUUGUUAUUAUUACUUUUGAGAACAAUGUUUUUUAAACAAUUAUGGUUUUGGUUGGAUUUUAAAAUGAAAAUAUUACCUAGAUUUUUGGGAUGUUACAUAGUCUUUAAGGCAUUUUGGUCAUUUUUCUCAUCAUUUACCUUAGGGGGUUAGGUUUGGCAACCACACUUCGAUUUAUCCACCAUUGGAGCACGUUGGAGGUGAUUUAUGAGAGCUAUAUCUACAUUUGUCUCAUUCUUCUAGUAAUUGCUAAUCUCUUGAUGUUAGAAUACUUUUGUGAUUGUUGUCUUGUUGCCAUGAGUGGCUAAUCUAUUUAUUUUGGUUGACUUGGGCUAAAACCAUUGGAUAUUUGUGGGUUUUGAAGGAUUCAUGCUUGAUUGUCAUUUAUCUUGUGUUUAUGAUUCUAGUUCAUAGUUCUUAUGCUUGUUUAAUACUUUGAUCAUGAGCUUGGUGCUUGAAUGAUCAAUUGUUGAUUAUUUCUUUGGUUUAGUACUGAUUCAUUGAAUUUUCUUAGAUCAAGGGAUUUAUGAAGGUAGAAAUUAUCUCAAGCUUAUGGAUCAUGACUCCUUUAUGGUUGUGUAAGCAUUGACAUCCUCAAGGAAUUAGGUAUUCCUUCAUUCUUAAGGCUAAUCAGUUUUCUAGGGAUCCAUUGCUUCAUUUGAAUCCUUGAUUUUGAAUAAAAAGGUGUAUUGUGGGCUUCCCUAACCUCCAUACUACCUUUGACGAAUCUUGACAUAUCAUGCUUCGUGAUUGCCAUAACCAAUUUGGGAUGAAUUAUAAUCUUGCAUUUUGACUCCUAAUGAUCAAAGCACAAAUGUCCAUUGUGUUGAAUUAGCUUGGUUGACCAAUUUUCUCCAAUAUUUAAUAAUGUCACCAUCUUUCUUAAUUGCAAACUUUUUAAUUCUUCAAGUCAUUUAGUUUUCAAACAAUCAUAACGCCCCCCUAGUUUAAUUGUAGUUAGUUAGUUUUAUUACAAUAGUUCUAUUGGGUUGCAGUGGUGAUUGAAUACAACCACUUCCCUAAUGAUCGAUAUCCCUUUCAUCAUUAUAUUAAUAUCCCUUUUAUCAUUAUAUUACGAAUUAUUUUCAAGCAAAGGGUGUGAUUUGCUUGGUGGACUUGACAUACCACCACCUUUAGUGAAGAAGAAACAAUGCAAGUUGGUGGUAGCUUGUCGAAACAGAUCUGAUGCCCAGUGUUUUUAUCGAGUGGUUGGGAUAUAGAUGCACGAACACAUACAAAUCAUAUGAUACCAAAUGACGAGAGUCGGGCAGUGACCGGAGGAAGAAGGAGCGAUUUCUGAUUCAUACACAUAUAUACUUUUUUGAAACAAUUUCAUAUUCAUACACACAUACACAAAUCGGUUUUAGAAACAAAAUCAUACACAUACAAAUCAAUUUUGGGGGAUGAACAUACAAAUAUCGAUUUCCAAAACGAAAUGUACAUAUUCACACAUACAUAAAUCGAUUAUAGAUUGGAUUUAUAGGUUUUCUUUUGAGUUCUAUAAAAUGAUUUUAGAUUUAUGAUUGUGUGUUUAAUCUUGAGCAAUGUGUGUGCAUUUUGAAUAACAAACCAAUUUUUUGGAGAGAGUAAGAGUAGGUGUAUGUGAGUGUAGUUUGUAUGUAUGUUAAUAAGCUCCUUCAUGCUUUAGGUUCCUUAUUAAGCCUUCUUGGAGUUUAGAGCUUCAUUUAGUCAAGCAUGAGCAUAAAGUUGGCAACUUUAUGUGGUUUUCCGGCUCAAGGAAGUCAGAUCUAUGUUUUGGAGCCAUGGAUUAAGUGCUUAAUGUGUUUAGAGGUGGUUUCUGGCGAACUCGACGAGUUUUUUGGAUAAACUCGACGAUUUGGCUCAGUUUUCCCCAACAUUUUCAGUUUGAUAAGGGAAGUCGGCGAUUUGACUUGGUUUUUCCCAAUCUAUGAAGAUUUAUGGAAAACUCGACGGGUUGAAGGACAACCGACAACUUGGGUCAACUUAGACCGUUGACUUUGACUUUCGAUUUAUGUCCUUGACCAAGUUUAUCCCGACGGGUGUUUGUGAUAACCUGAUUUGGAUUUAAGGAAAAUAUGGGCUUAGGAUAAGACCCAUAUGGGGUUGGGCCCAAUUUGGAAAAUUGGGCCAUUAGUGGGCCAUUGUGGAUCUUUUGGUUUUGGGCCUCAGUUUUGGUGCAUGUUGGGUCAGGUGUAAAAUGGUCAUUUUACACCAAGUAUGGAUUAUAGAUUAUGGCAUGGAGCGCAAUUGCUAAUUGGGUGUGUUGAUGGUAUUAAUAGCUCGGAAGUCGGUAGGGUAGCAGCUAGGGUUUCUUCAGUGAGCUUCUACAUUCAAGGUGAGUUUUCCUCACUGCACUUAUGGGUCGAAGGCACCAAGGUCGUCCCUUUGGAUUGUUAUCCUAGUUUAUCGUAUAUUUGUAUGUUGUAGUUGUUAGGAUUAAAACCCUAAUUGAGAUUUGAUGAACAAGAUGCGGAAAAUGAGAACAAACACAAAUAUGAAGAUUAGGUCGAAUGAUCAGUCGAUUUAUUGAAUUGUGAGGAACAAAUUACACUUAAGAAAUAAGAAUCUAACUCUACAGAAACCUCAUAACGUGGCGGCUACAUUUUGCCUCUCUCUUAACCCUAAUAAUGAAUAAUAUAUGACUAUUUAUAGGGAAAAGACAAGUCUUGGGCUUUUAACCUACACUUCAUCAAGGGGCCCAUUGCCAUCAUCCAUGGAGUGCUUUGAAACCCUACAAUCUCCCCCUCAAAGUAUGGAAUGGAUGAC